rnacentral:rRNA from 1 species
ACUGAAGCAGCAGUGGGGAAUAUUGCACAAUGGGGGAAACCCUGAUGCAGCAACGCCGCGUGGGCGAAGAAGGCCUUUGGGUCGUAAAGCUCUGUCCUAAGGGAAGAAGAAGUGACGGUACCUUAGGAGGAAGCCCCGGCUAACUACGUGCCAGCAGCCGCGGUAAUACGUAGGGGGCGAGCGUUAUCCGGAAUUAUUGGGCGUAAAGGGUACGUAGGCGGUUCUUUAAGCGUGAGGUGAAAGGCAAUAGCUUAACUAUUGUAAGCCUUGCGAACUGAAGGACUUGAGUGCAGGAGAGGAAAGCGGAAUUCCUAGUGUAGCGGUGAAAUGCGUAGAUAUUAGGAGGAACACCAGUGGCGAAGGCGGCUUUCUGGACUGUAACUGACGCUGAGGUACGAAAGUGUGGGGAGCAAACAGGAUUAGAUACCCUGGUA